ACUUAUUACAUGUACAUGUGAAUUGAAUGUAAUCUGAGAUUUUAUUUAGUACCAUGUAUUGAAGUUUAGAACAAGAAAUGCUUAGAUGACGAACAGACGUGCAUUGAAUCGUUGCGGGUUGCUUCCUUUUCUUGACCUAUUGUCCUUCUAAUUUCAUCUGCCGAAGGAAACUCCUUUCACUAUAUCAGUCUUGGUAUAUUUGCUGUAACAUAGGAUGGUUCAAGGAUGGCAAGAACAUAUUCCUUCCUUUUUAUUCCUUCUAGCAUUUAUCCUUUCAUUUUGGAAAAAGAAUAUUACUACAAUCUUUGGGGAUAUGAAAUGAUGAACUAUUCUAUAUUGGCAGUAUUCGAUGUCACAAGUAAAGAUAAGAAUAUUAUUACAAAGGUAUCAGCCUUGGAUUAUAUCAUGAAGCCUGCAGGUGUAAUUGACUUCUUACAAGAAUAACUACUUAAGGGAAAACGUAGUAGAGGAAAUAUUGCUAAAUUUGUUACCAUAAAUGAGUACAUUUUGAAAGACAGAUCUGGAGAAGGUUUAAUAUUGGAGGGAUUCAGUUGGUGAAGCAGGCAAAACAGUAAGAUGCAAUUUACCAAGUGGUUAUGAAUGGUACAAGGCUAUCUUUCUUUUCCUCUAUAAUCAACUAAACAAUAGUCUUCAACUAAUGUUUGUACUUGGAGAACAUUUCUGAAAUCUUGUGUGAUUUAUAAAAAUAAGAAGUAUUUAGACAUAUCAUUGUGCAAUUUAGAAAAGAGAAAAAGACAGAGCUACAAAUAGAAAAUUUAUAAAUUUAUGGUAACUUCCCAAAAGAAUUAUCUUUCAUGGAAGAAAAGCAAGUUAUGUGCAAAGAAGUAGGAACUAACUAGAAGUCCACCUAAAGCAGUUAUGGUAUCCUCAAUUAAAAAUUUCAUUUUUGUGUUUCUUCUUUCAAGAUAUAGUGCUUUCCUUUCUUUUUAAAGUUUUUACUCAAAAUUUCUCAUUACUUCCAAUAUGGUGGCAAUGAGAGAGAACACAGGAAGGAUCCAACUUCAAGUUCCGAGCAUGACAUACCAGAAACACCAGAUCCAAAGCGUUUAUCUUAUGGAAUUUUAAUUUAAUUUUCUUCACAUACACUAAGGAGACAUGCUCAGAAUAGAGAGGCAGCACGAAAAAGUAGACUCGGCAAAAAGAAAUAUGACGAAUGAAAACCAAACUAAUGGAAGUGUUGCGGGAACGGGUGCUACUGUUACGAGUGUUGCUGCCUCGUCAAGCCGUUCUACUCCUGCCCAUGCUAUGGCACCGACAGAAAAACCCGAAAAGUUUUCUGGUAUUGACUUCAAAUGCUGGCAAAUGAAGAUGCUCUUCUAUCUUACUACGUUGAGUUUGCAAUGUUUCAUCAAGGAGGAUCCUCCGUUCCUGGCUGAAGGCNUC